GGGGCUGUGGCUCAGUGUUAGAGCAUCUGCUCUUCAUGCAGAAGGCCCCAGGUUUAAUCCCUGGCAUCUCCA